GCUCCUUCAGCCCUUCCCCCAAUUUUUUCAUUGGAGUCCUGGGCCCAUUCUGGACAAAAAAUGGGGCAGAGACUAAAGGAAAGGCCAUCCAGAGACUGCCCUACCUUGGAAUCUAUCCCAUCUGAAGACACCAAACUCCAGCACUAUUGCGGAUGCCAAGAAACCAGGGCUUGGAUUUGGCUGUGUUCCUCUGUUGAAGGUUACAGCUACUGCCGCACAGCUGUCUUUGUACAGAUCUCCCCAGAUAAAUCCAUAAUGUAAGGUUCCAGAUGGCCACACUUAUUUGGAGACACUAUUUAACACAAUUCUACUUCUACUUCCAUGAGAACCUGGUGAAGAAGACACAGCCAGAGCUUUGAUCAAAGAUUCCAAAUGCAAAUAUACCUAACCAUCCAACUGGUCCCAUCAGCCA
rnacentral:lncRNA from 1 species